rnacentral:rRNA from 1 species
ACUCCUACGGGAGGCAGCAGUGGGGAAUAUUGGACAAUGGGGGGAACCCUGAUCCAGCCAUGCCGCGUGUGUGAAGAAGGCCUUAUGGUUGUAAAGCACUUUAAGCGAGGAGGAGGCUACUGAGACUAAUACUCUUGGAUGGUGGACGUUACUCGCAGAAUAAGCACCGGCUAACUCUGUGCCAGCAGCCGCGGUAAUACAGAGGGUGCGAGCGUUAAUCGGAUUUACUGGGCGUAAAGCGUGCGUAGGCGGCUUUUAAGUCGGAUGUGAAAUCCCCGAGCUUAACUUGGGAAUUGCAUUCGAUACUGGGGAAGCUAGAGUAUGGGAGAGGAUGGUAGAAUUCCAGGUGUAGCGGUGAAAUGCGUAGAGAUCUGGAGGAAUACCGAUGGCGAAGGCAGCCAUCUGGCCUAAUACUGACGCUGAGGUACGAAAGCAUGGGAGCAAACAGGAUUAGAUACCCCUGGUAGCGACUGA